rnacentral:lncRNA from 1 species
AAACAUCCAUUUGCAUAUCAGUCACCUAACUUUCCAGAAAGUGCGUAAAGGUUGCCAAGGUUAUAGAAAUUGCUUAAAGUCACUCAACUUUCUGAAAUUUACAAAAGGGUCAUUAAACUUUCAAGCCACUACAAGAUCAUCCUUCAUCUUCUCCGGCAAACCCCUCACCGCAAGUGAUCCCAUCUCCGAUUCAAGCGAGUGUCCGACAUGUCUCCACAAUUCUUGGAAUGCGGAUUAGCUGCAAAUGUGCUUCUCCUAGCUUCGGCGACCCCCUUCCAGCCUUUUAUCACCUACGUUGUGUCGCCGAUCUGGCGCCUAACU